ensembl:lncRNA
GGAAUGUUGUCAAAACCCACUGACUUGCAUAAGAUGUUUUGUGAAAUAAUCCUGGCUAAGAUAAUCGUCUUCAGCAUAAUGCUCCUUUUUGAUGCCUACUACAAAAUCAAAAAGACAUUUUGCACCUAGAACCCCCCCCUUUUUUUAUAUCCUCAUCAAAUGGCUAUCAUUCAGUUGAACAGUGCCUCUGUUAGUCAGGCCUGUCAAAGAAAAGUAAACAAACCUGAAACGCAGCUGUUCAAACUCACACGGAAAUACACAAGAGAACAGAGCAAAACAAACCAACAAACCAUAAAUGCUGUAAAGCAGAGAUUUUUCUAAAAGUGCUGUCAUGUGCUUGAGCAUGGGAGAUUCAGAUGGGAUAUGUCAUCUCUCGCUCUGCAGAGAGCUCUACGGGCCCCAGGAGCACUUGGAACGGGGCCCAGAGUCCGCCUCCAACAUCACUGGUAAUUACUGGAUGAAUACAUUUGAAUUAGUGCCUGUAUUUGGACACUGUGGUGUUGUCAUAUCAGCUGCUGUCGG